rnacentral:rRNA from 1 species
GUCUACGGCCACGCCACCCUGAACAAGCCCGAUGUCUGAUCUCGGAAGCUAAGCAGGGUCAGGCCUGGUUAGUACUUGGAUGGGAGACCACCUAGGAAGACCAGGUGCUGGAGGUG